GAAUAGAAAGCACAAAACUCUCUCUAAAGAAUUGAACUUCUCUCUAGAAUCAACUCUCUCCUCGGCAAAAUUUUCAGCCAAAUCAAAAUUUCUCAAAUCAAAAUGUGAAUCUCAUUUGUCACGUAUGUUGAAAUAUCUAAUCUUUUCGUUUUUUUGGGAAAGAAGUUGCUCUAUUUUAAUCAACCGAUUUCACAGAGGAAGAAUCAAAGAAACAAUUUCUGUUCCUAAUCGAUUUCGUGCAUCCUUUCCUUCUUAUUUGUUACUAUCUCAUAUCUAACUAAGAUCCCAUAAAGAUUUAUAUAAGAUAUAUUUACAUUUAAUUUUUUUUAUAAUGAUUCUCUAAGACCAAAUUUUCAACAUGCAGUUAGGGAUAAUUAUUCUUUUUUUAGCAAUUUCACAUUUGUAUUCUCAAAUUUCAUCUCAAAUUUCUCUGAGCCCUUUGAUAAUCUAUAGGAAUACAACAAAAAUAAAAUCACACAGAAAGAAUCAUUUGAAGCGUAUUUGGUGUUGUUAUUGUGAAUUCUCUGUCUUGAUAGAAUCUCAGCUAUAUAUUUCCCUGGGAAAUGAAAGGAACUAGACGAGGAAAACGUGGGAGAGGUGGGACGAGUUGUGGCCGUGAAAAGUUUCAAGGACGUGACAAUUUUGGAGCGACGUCUCAGCCACACAUACAUAUCGGACACGUAUCUGGUGCAUCUGUAGAGAUAGGACAACCAUGUAACCCGAGUCAAGGACCUUUACAGACCGGACGAGUAUCUACUAACUCUCUCCAAAUACCUUCUUUAGAAACACAAUCAUCAUGAAAUGUAGCAGAAACUGUGCAUCGCUCUCCAGGGCUGAAAAUUGUGCAAGGACAAGACACAUAAACAGUGGUAUCAUUCAAGGAUGGUAUCGAGCAAAGAGCAGCUACAUGUCACUUAAUAUUUUAUUUUUUUUGGGAUAUGUAUAUGCGUACAAUUACAAUGCACAAUGAAGUGUCGUGUAGUAUAUAUGUAAUUGACUUUUUAGUAAUGAUAAUAUUUAUAAUAUUCGGCUU